rnacentral:rRNA from 1 species
UACAGAGGGUGCAAGCGUUGUUCGGAAUUAUUGGGCGUAAAGCGCGUGUAGGCGGCUUUGCAAGUCGGGUGUGAAAGCCCUCAGCUCAACUGAGGAAGUGCGCCCGAAACUGCAGAGCUUGAGUGCCGGAGAGGGUGGCGGAAUUCCCCAAGUAGAGGUGAAAUUCGUAGAUAUGGGGAGGAACACCGGUGGCGAAGGCGGCCACCUGGACGGCAACUGACGC